UUAAGCGACUAAGCGUACACGGUGGAUGCCCUGGCAGUCAGAGGCGAUGAAGGACGUGCUAAUCUGCGAUAAGCGUCGGUAAGGUGAUAUGAACCGUUAUAACCGGCGAUUUCCGAAUGGGGAAACCCAGUGUGAUUCGUCACACUAUCAUUAACUGAAUCCAUAGGUUAAUGAGGCGAACCGGGGGAACUGAAACAUCUAAGUACCCCGAGGAAAAGAAAUCAACCGAGAUUCCCCCAGUAGCGGCGAGCGAACGGGGAGCAGCCCAGAGCCUGAAUCAGUGUGUGUGUUAGUGGAAGCGUCUGGAAAGGCGCGCGAUACAGGGUGACAGCCCCGUACACAAAAAUGCACAUAUUGUGAGCUCGAUGAGUAGGGCGGGACACGUGGUAUCCUGUCUGAAUAUGGGGGGCCCAUCCUCCAAGGCUAAAUACUCCUGACUGACCGAUAGUGAACCAGUACCGUGAGGGAAAGGCGAAAAGAACCCCGGCGAGGGGAGUGAAAAAGAACCUGAAACCGUGUACGUACAAGCAGUGGGAGCACGCUUAGGCGUGUGACUGCGUACCUUUUGUAUAAUGGGUCAGCGACUUAUAUUCUGUAGCAAGGUUAACCGAAUAGGGGAGCCGAAGGGAAACCGAGUCUUAACUGGGCGUUAAGUUGCAGGGUAUAGACCCGAAACCCGGUGAUCUAGCCAUGGGCAGGUUGAAGGUUGGGUAACACUAACUGGAGGACCGAACCGACUAAUGUUGAAAAAUUAGCGGAUGACUUGUGGCUGGGGGUGAAAGGCCAAUCAAACCGGGAGAUAGCUGGUUCUCCCCGAAAGCUAUUUAGGUAGCGCCUCGUGAAUUCAUCUCCGGGGGUAGAGCACUGUUUCGGCAAGGGGGUCAUCCCGACUUACCAACCCGAUGCAAACUGCGAAUACCGGAGAAUGUUAUCACGGGAGACACACGGCGGGUGCUAACGUCCGUCGUGAAGAGGGAAACAACCCAGACCGCCAGCUAAGGUCCCAAAGUCAUGGUUAAGUGGGAAACGAUGUGGGAAGGCCCAGACAGCCAGGAUGUUGGCUUAGAAGCAGCCAUCAUUUAAAGAAAGCGUAAUAGCUCACUGGUCGAGUCGGCCUGCGCGGAAGAUGUAACGGGGCUAAACCAUGCACCGAAGCUGCGGCAGCGACGCUUAUGCGUUGUUGGGUAGGGGAGCGUUCUGUAAGCCUGCGAAGGUGUGCUGUGAGGCAUGCUGGAGGUAUCAGAAGUGCGAAUGCUGACAUAAGUAACGAUAAAGCGGGUGAAAAGCCCGCUCGCCGGAAGACCAAGGGUUCCUGUCCAACGUUAAUCGGGGCAGGGUGAGUCGACCCCUAAGGCGAGGCCGAAAGGCGUAGUCGAUGGGAAACAGGUUAAUAUUCCUGUACUUGGUGUUACUGCGAAGGGGGGACGGAGAAGGCUAUGUUGGCCGGGCGACGGUUGUCCCGGUUUAAGCGUGUAGGCUGGUUUUCCAGGCAAAUCCGGAAAAUCAAGGCUGAGGCGUGAUGACGAGGCACUACGGUGCUGAAGCAACAAAUGCCCUGCUUCCAGGAAAAGCCUCUAAGCAUCAGGUAACAUCAAAUCGUACCCCAAACCGACACAGGUGGUCAGGUAGAGAAUACCAAGGCGCUUGAGAGAACUCGGGUGAAGGAACUAGGCAAAAUGGUGCCGUAACUUCGGGAGAAGGCACGCUGAUAUGUAGGUGAAGUCCCUUGCGGAUGGAGCUGAAAUCAGUCGAAGAUACCAGCUGGCUGCAACUGUUUAUUAAAAACACAGCACUGUGCAAACACGAAAGUGGACGUAUACGGUGUGACGCCUGCCCGGUGCCGGAAGGUUAAUUGAUGGGGUCAGCGCAAGCGAAGCUCUUGAUCGAAGCCCCGGUAAACGGCGGCCGUAACUAUAACGGUCCUAAGGUAGCGAAAUUCCUUGUCGGGUAAGUUCCGACCUGCACGAAUGGCGUAAUGAUGGCCAGGCUGUCUCCACCCCUAAGGCGAGGCCGAAAGGCGUAGUCGAUGGGAAACAGGUUAAUAUUCCUGUACUUGGUGUUACUGCGAAGGGGGGACGGAGAAGGCUAUGUUGGCCGGGCGACGGUUGUCCCGGUUUAAGCGUGUAGGCUGGUUUUCCAGGCAAAUCCGGAAAAUCAAGGCUGAGGCGUGAUGACGAGGCACUACGGUGCUGAAGCAACAAAUGCCCUGCUUCCAGGAAAAGCCUCUAAGCAUCAGGUAACAUCAAAUCGUACCCCAAACCGACACAGGUGGUCAGGUAGAGAAUACCAAGGCGCUUGAGAGAACUCGGGUGAAGGAACUAGGCAAAAUGGUGCCGUAACUUCGGGAGAAGGCACGCUGAUAUGUAGGUGAAGUCCCUCGCGGAUGGAGCUGAAAUCAGUCGAAGAUACCAGCUGGCUGCAACUGUUUAUUAAAAACACAGCACUGUGCAAACACGAAAGUGGACGUAUACGGUGUGACGCCUGCCCGGUGCCGGAAGGU
rnacentral:rRNA from 1 species